GUCUACAGCCAUGCCACCUUGAACAAGCCUAAUGUCCGAUCCUGGAAGCUAAACAGGGUCGGGCUUGGUUAGUACUUGGAUGGGAGACCACCUAGGAAGACCAGGUGCUGUAGACA
rnacentral:rRNA from 1 species